CCUACGGGUGGCAGCAGUGAGGAAUAUUGGUCAAUGGGCGCGAGCCUGAACCAGCCAAGUAGCGUGAAGGAUGACUGCCCUACGGGUUGUAAACUUCUUUUACAAAGGAAUAAAGUGAGGCACGUGUGCCUUGUUGGAUGUACUUUAUGAAUAAGGAACGGCUAACUCCGUUCCAGCAGUCGCGGUUAGACGGAGGAUGCGAGCGUUAUCCGGCUUUUUUGGGUUUAAGGGGUGCGUAGGCGGCCUGUUAAGUCCGCGGUAAAAGCCCGGGGCUCAACCCCGGCAAGCCGUUGAAACUGGCGGGCGUGAGUGGGAGAGAAGUACGCGGAAUGCGCGGUGUAGCGGUGAAAUGCAUAGAUAUCACGCAGAACCCCGAUUGCGAAGGCAGCGUACCGGCUCCACACUGACGCUGAGGCACGAAAGUGUGGGUAUCGAACAGGAUUAGAUACCCGAGUAGUC
rnacentral:rRNA from 1 species